rnacentral:lncRNA from 1 species
CUUGCCUGAGGGUGAUCAGUGAGCUCAAAGAAGAGCACAGGUGAGGACCCUCCCACGCCUGGCGCAGCACUUACAGUUUACAGAGCACCUCCCUUCCUGGAGCAGAUGCUUCCACCGCGGGCAGCCAGCACCCGUGUCUCUCAGAGGCUGGCGCCGGGCCUGCGUUUACAGGGAGCUGGAAGUGCAUGACCUCCUGAGGGGAACUCACGUCCUCCAGUCACUGGUGAGUACAGGAGUAUAAACACCCCAGCUCCCUUGCCCCACAGCGGGACGACUCCGAGACGUGACCUGCACUGUCUCCCAAGCACAGCUGCAGGAUCCAUCCAAAGCGGGACUUUGAGAUGACACACCCUUGCUUGGCUUCUGUCCCUUCCAUGUCCUGGUCUCCCAUCCUCUACCAGCCCUCCUGGGGAUGCUUCACAUUACCCAGGGACGUAGAGAUGCGGCUCCCGGCCCGUCUGCAGAAGCGUGGAGAGGAGCUUGCUCGUCCGCAGCCGAAGGGGAGUGGGACUGAGGUAGGCUGGCCCGGAGGCUUCCUGCUUUAUCACUGCCCUGUGGGGUCUUUCCCUCUGGCCCUGCUUCUUACUGCAACCACACAACCGAGCCCGGACAUGUGGCCUCAUCAGCCGCCUGGGACUUUAACUCCUGCGCGGAGUGACUUGAGGUUGGGAGGACUGGUGGAGUCGCUCCUUCCACAGGCAGGGCCCCGACAAUCACGUAGCUGCCGGUUUGAUUCCUGCCUGACCCCCAGCCUGGCUCUCUAGCCUUUAUGUCAAUUCUCUGAUCCCUAAUAAUCUCCCAAUAAAUCCUCCUUUUACGCGAGUACCAAAGAACCUAAUGGAGAACCAGAUGAAGAGGGGAUGGAUCAGCUAGCUGCUGCUGUGGAACAAAGCACCCCCCAAAAUCUGUGGAUUCCAACAAGCAAUUAUUUCUCACAAUUCUGUGGGUCUACUGGGAAGCUCUUCUUCUGGACUAGCCCAUCUGGGGCUGGAAGGUCUAGCAUGGCCUCCUGUGCUGUCUGGCCGUCUCUGCUGGGAUGGCCCAUCUCUAUCUCACGCGGACUCCCGUCCUCCGGUGGGCCAGCUCGGCUCAUUCACAUGGUGGUCUCAAAGUCCCAAACAGCACGUGCUUUGCAAGCCUCUGCCUGGGUCCCAUUGACCAGAGCAAGUCGCACGGCUGGGCCCCGAGUCAAGGUGAG